CUAAAUUGUUCCUGAUGCUUGCCAUGCCUAGUAGUAUAUAUAUGUGAAAGGAUGAGUUUUGGUACAAAGUAGAAUCUCACAUUUGUCACGUAUUAUAUAUACCUCAUUUCUCUCAUUUUGAAACUCAGAUCGACUAUAUUUAUUUGUGUGUGUGUGAUGGGGAGGGGAGUUACUUAUAGAGGCAUUGCAACAAGAAAGGGGAAGCAAAGUACAGUUUAAUUUACUACAGUUAUAAGGAUGGAAUGAAUUCACAUCUUGACAUGUUUUUAUUCAUGGGUGAAAAAUCAGAGCAAAUGAAGAUAUAAAGUCAAAACAGAGUAUGAUCAAAGAAUUUCAGAACAGUGUGCAAAUAUAUGUUAAAAUAUAUGUUAAAAAUAGUGUGCAAAGAUGAAGCCAAAUUAUGUUGUGUAAUCGUAGUAGCAUAAUCGUUCAGAUGCAGAACACACAAUGAUAUGUAUGUACCGUCAAGCAAUUGUUGCUGGGCUAGACAUCAUGGUUAGCAUGGUAGUAUCUCUAGCAAUUGUUGUGUGUAUGUCACUUGCAUAGAAGGUGAUUGCAGAUUACUAAACUAAGGGAGCACAAUGAGUAAUUGACAAGCAGUACUUGCAGCUACGUUUGGCUGCGUA